GUCGAACGCUGGCGGCGUGCCUAAUACAUGCAAGUCGAACGCAGUUUCGAACGGGUGAGUAACGCGUAGGUAACUGCCUCAUAGCGGGGGAUAACUAUUGGAAACGAUAGCUAAUACCGCAUACUGUGAGAUGGACGUGCGUUGUAUUAGUUAGUUGGUGGGGUAAAUGAUCACCAAGGCGACGGUACAUAGCCGACCUGGGAGGGGUGUCGGCCCACCUGGGACUGGGACACGGCCCAGGAUCCCUCCGGAAGCCAGAGUAGGGGAUCUUCGGGAAAGGGCGGAAGGCUUGACCGACAAAGGCGCGGGGGUGAAGGAGGGUUUCGGGACCUAAAGCUCUGGUGUUAAGGGAGCGGUAUCUAACCAGAAAGGGACGGCUAACUACGUGCCAGCCGCCGCGGUAAUUC
rnacentral:rRNA from 1 species